AUUGAACGCUGGCGGCAGGCCUAACACAUGCAAGUCGAGCGGAGCGGCGGACGGGUGCGUAAUGCCUAGGAAUCUGCCUGGUAGUGGGGGAUAACGUCCGGAAACGGGCGCUAAUACCGCAUACUAUCAGAUGAGCCUAGUUAGGAUUAGCUAGUUGGUGGGUUAAAGGCCUACCAAGGCGACGAUCCGUAACUGGUCUGAGAGGAUGAUCAGUCACACGGGAACUGAGACACGGUCCAGACCCGUACGGGAGGCAGGAGUGGGGAAUAUUGGACAAUGGGCGAAAGCCUGAUCCAGCCAUGCCGCGUGUGUGAAGAAGGCCUUCGGGUUGUAAAGUACUUUCAGCGUGGAGGCGUUACCCGCAGAAGAAGCACCGGCUAACUCCGUGCCAGCAGCCGCGGUAAUUC
rnacentral:rRNA from 1 species